rnacentral:rRNA from 1 species
UACGUAGGGGGCAAGCGUUGUCCGGAAUCAUUGGGCGUAAAGCGCGUGUAGGCGGCCAGAAAAGUCCGCUGUGAAAACUCGAGGCUCAACUUCGAGCUGUCGGUGGAAACUUUCUGGCUAGAGUCCGGAAGAGGAGAAUGGAAUUCCUGGUGUAGCGGUGAAAUGCGCAGAUAUCAGGAGGAACACCGGUGGCGAAGGCGGUUCUCUGGGCCUGACCUGACGCUGAGGAGCGAAAGCGUGGGGAGCGAACAGG